CUUUAGUUUGGCUGCAUCAUUUUUCCAUGUGGACUGCUUCCCAAAAAUGAAACCAGAUAAUCUCCAGAAAACUUCAGCAUGACAUCUCAAAGUCCCCUUCUACAGGCAUAGGCAGUAAGCCUGUAGCUGUCGUAGGUCGCUAGCGAACAUCCCAGCCGCCCGUCCUCGCGAGUCUGCGACGUAGGCCAUCUCAACAUCCAUGACUGUCGUCCCAUUUGGAGGUAACCAGCUACUUCGAGGAAAC
rnacentral:lncRNA from 1 species